rnacentral:lncRNA from 10 species
UUAGGGACUGCCAAGGCUUACUGCCCUAAAUUGUGGAUUGCAUCCUCCUAGAAUGCCCAUGGACUCCACUUCCAGCUAGCCCUGACUCGGUGCAGGACAAAGGACAGAACUCAAAGUCAUCAUUCUGCUCACCUGAGACAAACGCAUAUUUGAUUGCUUCUUCUGCCCUAUUGUUUAUGCAAAAAUGCAGAUUCAGCGAGCCAGACUAAGGCAUAAGUAACUAUUCCUCUACCCGCAUCUCUCAUGUUAAUUAUGUAUUCAGUGAAAGGCUGAUCAAAGACUCAAAAGGAUGCAAAUGUUCCUGUCUUAUCUACCCACACCUUUUUAAAUUUUCUUCCUCUUUCUCCAAUAUCCAUUUUAUCCCCUUUAAAUAUUGAAGCCCUCAAAAUCAUCUUUGGAGAAAAGCUCAGUCCUGCCUCCUGGGCACAUGUCCAUAACCUUGACAAAAUAAACUUUUUAUAUUGAUUGAGACCUGUCUCAGAUACUUUGGGUUCACACAAAUAAGAAUGAGGAAAAACAAGGAGAACAACCCCCUUUGGAGUACCCCUUUGGUUUUAUGGCACCUCUACUUGUUUUUGUGUAAAAUGGAAAAGUUUGAGGCCACGCCAGUUUUUCUAGCACUCCAGCUGGUUACUUAUUUUGGUCUUUUUGUGCACAUUUUAAACUGAUGGGCAAACUACAUCAAGGAAUAAUUCAGAGCCCAAAGGUUGACCUGCAACUGUAGAGUUCCUAAAUUCUCUAUUUCUCUAUUUUCUUUUCUUCCUGCUUUAAAUCUGUUCUCACUUUUCUACUGAGAUAAAAAACAAUCUUUGGAUGCAACCUUUUUUUUCUUUUUUUUCAAACUGGUGAGUUUGUAUUAAUAUCUCAUGGCUAGAGCUCUGAAGUAAAAGCUAAAGGGUCUUUGUUGGUUUGUGUGAGUGUGUAUGUGUGUGUUUAUGUGUACAUACACAUAUUUUGUUAUGUGUUUUGGCCACAAGGUACCAAAUUGGCUUAAAGAGUACUCAUAAAUUAAAUAAUAAGCUAAAAUGCUUUUCAAGUUCACAUGAGUUAAGUAAAAAUUUUAAUAAACCAGCUUUAAAAUUGAGAGGUGAAACCAGCUGGGCUUCUGAGUUGGGUGGGGACUUGGAGAACUUUCGUGUCUAGCUAAAGGAUUGUAAAUGCACCAAUCAGCACUCUGUAAAAUUACACCAGUCAGCACUCUGUAAAAUUACACCAAUCAGCACUCUGUAAAAUCACACCAAUCAGCACUCUGUGUCUAGCUAAAGGGUUGUAAACACACCAAUCAGCACUCUGUAAAAUGGACCAAUCAGCACUCUAUAAAAUGGACCAAUCAGCUCUCUGUAAAAUGGACCAAUCAGCAGGAUGUGGGCGGGGCCAAAUAAGGGAAUAAAAGCUGGCCACCCAACCCAGCAGUGGCAACCUGCUUGGGUCCCCUUCCAUGCUGUGGAAGAUUUAUUCUUUCGCUAUUCACAAUAAAUCUUGCUGCUGCUCACUCUUUGGGUCCACACUACCUUUAUGAGCUGUAACACUCACUGUGAGGGUCUGCAGCCUCAUUCCUGAAGUCAGCGAGACCACGAACCCACUGGGAGGAACAAACAACUCUGGUCGCACCACCUUUAAGAGCAGUAACACUCA